rnacentral:rRNA from 1 species
CAUUGAAACACUGGUUCUCAUACAAUCAACAAAGUUAAGCAACAUUGAGCCUGGUCAGUACCUGGAUGGGUGACUGCUUGGGAAUACCAGGUGUUAUA